AAUUGAUCACGAGGGUGCCGGAGAACAGAAUCAGGAAGGGAACAGCUCGUGUUGCGUUAAGGGGAGAGGCUUUUAAGCUACCGGAAACCCCUCCGAAAAAUUUAAGGAUCACUGAUUUUGCUGUUGCACUACUACUGGAUACAAGAUAUAAAUGUGAGAAACCGUCAGUAAAAAUGUUUGCCGAAGAAACUUUAUAUCUAAGAACUUCAUUUUUCGUCCUGUUAUCUGUUGGCUGCUGUUUAUUUUCUGAAGCAUCUGGUGUCUCACCAUGUACAGUUCAUACUGGGAGUUCCUGUGAAGAAUGUUUGACAAAUGUAUCGUGCCUGUGGUGUUACAGCAACAACACAUGUCUGGAUUAUCCCGUGAGGACUCUAAUUCCCUCCACUAGUAUUUGCCCUCUGUCUAAAGCUCGAUGGGGUGUUUGUUGGGGUGAGUAUU